UCUUUACAAUGCAGGAAACUGCGAUAAGGGGACCCCGAGUGCCAGCAUCUAAUGCUGGCUGUCCAGCUGUGUAAACAGCAGUUGUUAGCAAGGGCCGGGCAAGACCGGUGCCAGCCGCCGCGGUAACACCGGCGGCCCGAGUGGUAACCGAUUUUAUUGGGUUUAAAGGGUCCGUAGCCGGCCUGUUAAGUCUCUUGGGAAAUCUGGCGGCUUAAUCGUCAGACGUUCAAGAGAUACUGACAGGCCUGGGACCGGUAGAGGUGGGAGGUACUCCAAGGGUAGAGGUGAAAUUUUGUAAUCCUUGGGGGACCAUCGAUGGCGAAGGCAUCCCACUAGAACGG
rnacentral:rRNA from 1 species